AUUCCUGUAGCGCAAUGGAUAGUGUGUUGGACUUCUAAUCCAAAGGUUGUGGGUUCGAAUCCCACCUGAGAUG
rnacentral:tRNA from 1 species